CCUCCCUGUCCUCAAAUGUCUUUUACUCCUCAAAGUGCCAACUUUUUACUUUACUCCUUAAAUUAUGAAUUUUUUUAAGUGAGAAGGACUGAAUAUCACAUCCAGCUGAAGGCAAAAUCACACGAAAGAAAGGAUAAGGGAUUUUGUGAAUUCAGCCUGAGCCCUUGAGCCUUGCCCUUUGCUGGACUUGGAUGGAGAACACAUAUAGACCAGCUCACCUGGAGUAAUUCCCUUCUGCAGCAGGAUGCCUACGCCCUGACCAGGGAUGGGAAAAAAAA